UGGUCAAGUUAUUAAGGGUGCAGGGCGGAUGCCUUGGCACUAGGAGCCGAUGAAGGACGUGAUAAGCUGCGAUAAGCUUCGGGGAGUUGCACGUAAACUUUGAUCCGAAGAUUUCCGAAUGAGGAAACUCACUUAGAGUAAUGUCUAAGUAUCAUUAAGUGAAUACAUAGCUUAAUGAGGGGAACUCAGGGAACUGAAACAUCUAAGUACCUGAAGGAAGAGAAAGAAAUUCGAUUCCGUAAGUAGCGGCGAGCGAACGCGGAUUAGCCCAA
rnacentral:rRNA from 1 species